CUUUGGAAAAUGCAGGGGGCGGGGGCGUCACAGCCAAGUUGGUGGUGGCGGUUCACGCCGCGUGAGUGUGGCCCCGUUUGCUCUUCUUCUGGGCAUCAACUUUUCCAAGUGUCGGCCACUAAGUUGUCCCUCGGAAGUGGCUGCUGGUCUUGGCCGAGCCGCCGUGAGGAGGAGGAAGUGGACGGGUGAUUCAGUGAGUGUCAGCUUCCUCUGUGACUCGGGAUUGGAUCCGUUUCCUAGGGUGGUGCCGGAGGGCCUGUGUGGCUUUGAAAUUCUCUGCCACUGGCGGCGGCCCUCCCUUGACCCCUUUUGAACGAGUAAGGGGAUUCAGCUGGAUUCUGCAGCCUCCCCCCAAGUUGGGCAGGCCCUUCUGACUUGAGGCCUGCCUGUGGCUCCGGCCGACAACGAUCAGUGACGGGCCGAGCUGAGGCCUCUGCUGGGUCUGUGUGCGUGUCAGGAGCUGCCUCGUAUUUGGGAACUGGAUUGCGAGAGCAGCUGGGAUCUGAGGGCCCCAGUCCGGGCAGGUGUUAGACUGAGGGAGGAGGCAGUUCAACUGCCCGGAGCCACCAGCUCUCCUGGAGGCCAUUUGUCCACGUAGCCAGUGGACGACAGGAGACGGCCAGAUGCACAGCUGCUUCCUGCCCACGAGGAGAGUCAUGACUGGCUUUUUCUUCCGGAGCACCGAGUUUUCCAUGGAUCUGUCGUUAGCGCGCAGCCUACGCGGCCAUUGCUGCCCUCGCCUGAAACCUGUUCUAAGAAGCACUUCAAUCAUCCAGAUCCUCGCCUCUGCCUAAGAGUCCGUAGUCCUAAAAGCACUGACUUGGUAAAGACUGAAAGACCCUCUCAAAAAAUGCUGCAGGGGCUUCUGUAUUCGAAUGCCUUCCAUCACCUUGGAGAACAGCCUCCGCUUCCGGGAACUGACCGAUGACCAGGGUCAUGGGGAGUCUGAGAGAGACACCCGACAGGAACCGGUUCAAAGUUUGUGCCCAGCCUGGGGAGAUCAGAUGACCGGCAGCUGGCCUGCCCCCUGCCGGCUCCCAUUGAUGUCGGAGGGGCUCUGACCCCCGUUUGGUCACAGAAAUACCCGUUUGGAAAUCUCUUUGAAGGCUGAUUAAGUAAACGCUCUCGCGGCACCGACAGUAACAACCGAGUGACGUAGUCGAAGUGCUCGUGGGCCAAGCUUGUAGGAGGGACUCCACACACGUUCGCUGACUUCUCUUCCUGCUUCACCUCUGUUACGGUUCACGGUCUACGUUCACGUCCAUGAUGUUGAAGUGCUAAUCCCCAGGACCCCGGAAUGUGACUGUGUUUGGAGAUAGGGUCUUUAAAGGGGUAGUUACGUUAAAAUGAGGUCAUUUUAAGUGAAAAUGAG